rnacentral:rRNA from 1 species
AUUGAACGCUGGCGGCAGGCCUAACACAUGCAAGUCGAGCGGAUGAAGGGAGCUUGCUCCUGGAUUCAGCGGCGGACGGGUGAGUAAUGCCUAGGAAUCUGCCUGGUAGUGGGGGAUAACGUCCGGAAACGGGCGCUAAUACCGCAUACGUCCUGAGGGAGAAAGUGGGGGAUCUUCGGGCCUCACGCUAUCAGAUGAGCCUAGGUCGGAUUAGCUAGUUGGUGGGGUAAAGGCCUACCAAGGCGACGAUCCGUAACUGGUCUGAGAGGAUGAUCAGUCACACUGGAACUGAGACACGGUCCAGACUCCUACGGGAGGCAGCAGUGGGGAAUAUUGGACAAAGGGCGAAAGCCUGAUCCAGCCAUGCCGCGUGUGUGAAGAAGGUCUUCGGAUUGUAAAGCACUUUAAGUUGGGAGGAAGGGCAGUAAGUUAAUACCUUGCUGUUUUGACGUUACCAACAGAAUAAGCACCGGCUAACUUCGUG